rnacentral:misc_RNA from 1 species
AAAGAUUUCCUCCAAGGUCUAGAACUUGCAAAAACCCUAGCUCAUGCAUCUUAUAACAUAAGAACUUAGAUAUGGGUCCGCGAAACGAAUUAGUAGAAAGAUAUAAAGCUCUCACGUUAGAGAACAUAUAUGGCAAUGGACCCUGGAAACUAUUGGAGCUCAAGUCAACCAAUGAACCAGAGAAUCCAUCGACUUGGUUUGAUAUAUUUGGAAUAACUCCACGGAUUUGGUUGUGGGAGAUAUUUAAGUAAUAAAAAUUGGAAGACAAGUUACAGAACCAAAGAGGAAUGGUGCUAGCAAUCCCUGAAUUUGACAGAUUGAGAGAAGAUAAAAACUUUAAUGAACGAAUCCAGUGAGGAAAAUGAGGCCCAAUUUUCCAAGACCCCAAAUUUAUUUCAUUAAUAUGAGGUGGGGGAUUCCAAUUAGGGUCAACUCUCAACCUCAAUUGGUUCCCAGAAGGACGAAAAUUGUACAAUUUGUGAGAUUUGCAAAGUGAACUGCAGAGACAUCACCCUCCAAUAAAUUAUA